rnacentral:rRNA from 1 species
AGUGAACGCUGGCGGUAGGCCUAACACAUGCAAGUCGAACGGCAGCACAGGAGAGCUUGCUCUCUGGGUGGCGAGUGGCGGACGGGUGAGGAAUACAUCGGAAUCUACUUUUUCGUGGGGGAGAACGUAGGGAAACUUACGCUAAUACCGCAUACGACCUACGGGUGAAAGCAGGGGACCUUCGGGCCUUGCGCGAUUGAAUGAGUCGGUGUCGGAUUAGAUAGUUGGGGGGGUAAAGGCCCACCAAGGCGACGAUCCGGAGCUGGUCUGAGAGGAUGAUCAGCAACACUGGAACUGGGACACGGUCCAGACUCCUACGGGAGGCAGCAGUGGGGAAUAUUGGACAAUGGGCGCAAGCCUGAUCCAGCCAUACCGCGUGGGUGAAGAAGGCCUUCGGGUUGUAAGGCCCUUUUGUUGGGAAAGAAACCCAGCUGGCUAAUACCCGGUUGGGAUGACGGUACCCAAAGAAUAAGCACCGGCUAACUUCGUGCCAGCAGCCGCCGUAA